rnacentral:rRNA from 1 species
UACAGAGGGGGCAAGCGUUGUUCGGAAUUACUGGGCGUAAAGGGCGCGUAGGCGGCCACCUAAGUCAGACGUGAAAUCCCUCGGCUCAACCGGGGAACUGCGUCUGAGACUGGGCGGCUUGAAUCCGGGAGAGGGAUGUGGAAUUCCAGGUGUAGCGGUGAAAUGCGUAGAUAUCUGGAGGAACACCGGUGGCGAAGGCGGCAUCCUGGACCGGUAUUGACGCUGAGGCGCGAAAGCCAGGGGAGCAAACGGG